rnacentral:rRNA from 1 species
UUAGCGGCGGGACGGGGUGAGUAAACACGUAGGCAAAACCUGCCUGUAAAGACCCGGGGAUAAACUACCGGAAAAACGGUAGCUAAAGACCCGGAUAGAUGGUUUACCCCGCAUGGGGAGAUCAAGAAACACGGUGCAAGCUGUGGCUUACAGAUGGGGCCUGCGGCGCAUUAGCUGGUUGGUGAGGUAACGGCUCACCAAGGCGACGAUGCGUAGCCGACCUGAGAGGGUGAUCGGCCACACUGGGACUGAGACACGGCCCAGACUCCUACGGGAGGCAGCAGUAGGGAAUCUUCCGCAAUGGACGCAAGUCUGACGGAGCAACGCCGCGUGAGUGAAGAAGGUUUUCGGAUCGUAAAGCUCUGUUGCCAAGGAAGAACGCCUUGGGGAGAAACUGCCCUGAGGGUGACGGUACUUGAGAAGAAAGCCCCGGCUAACUACGUGC